rnacentral:rRNA from 1 species
AUACGGAGGGUGCAAGCGUUGUUCGGAAUCACUGGGCGUAAAGGACGCGUAGGCGGGUUGGCAAGUCAGAUGUGAAAUCCUACAGCUUAACUGUAGAACUGCAUUUGAAACUGCUAACCUAGAGUAUGGGAGGGGGAGAUGGAAUUAGUGGUGUAGGGGUAAAAUCCGUAGAUAUCACUAGGAAUACCGAAAGCGAAGGCGAUCUCCUGGAACAUAACUGACGCUAAGGCGUGAAAGCGUGGGGAGCAAACAGGAUUAGAAACCCUAGUAGUCC